rnacentral:rRNA from 1 species
UUCGGGUUGUCAUGCCAAUGGCACUGCCCUGUCAUGCCAAUGGCACUGCCCGGUAGCUAAAUGCGGAAGAGAUAAGUGCUGAAAGCAUCUAAGCACGAAACUUGCCCCGAGAUGAGUUCUCCCUGAGACUUUAAGUCUCCUGAAGGAACGUUGAAGACGACGACGUUGAUAGGUCGGGUGUGUAAGCGCAGCGAUGCGUUGAGCUAACCGAUACUAAUGAACCGUGAGGCUUAACCUU